ACAAAUAGGGAGGGGCCCAAGUGAGUAGCGGGAGGGGCGGGGCCUGAGGAGGGUGCUGAGAACUGGAGCUGCGCCGAACAGCUGCUCCAAGCUUUUCUGCCAUUUGAAGCUUCUGCUGGGAGCCAGCUGUGACCAGAGGAAUAGCUCCAGCCAUCCGGCCAUGUAAGACGUGCCUGCUUCCCCUUUGCCUUCUGCAUG